CCAAAAAAAAAACUCAAACCCUAACCCUAACUUCGUCGUCGAGGAUCACCGAUCCCUUGGCCUCUUCCUUCUUCCUCAGGCUCAGGGUCAGAUGAUGAGGCCCCGGUGCUUGUUAGCUGGUCUAGAACAAGGCUUCAGUGAUGAUCGAUUCUUUAAAGUUGCCUCCUUUUAUCGUUCUAAUUACUGAAACCACUGGUUAAAUGUGGAGCUGAAGAGACAUCUGAGGAGCCCUUUAAAAAGUUUGUUUUUUUAAUUUAUUGUAUAAUGUUUUGUUGUUAUGCUUUUUUCCCCAUUGUAUUUGCUUAAUUUAUCCUUAUUUUGUGUAAUUACCUAUGCUUGUUGUAGUUUUUCUCCUGGUAGAGAUUGUUGACAGAAAUAUGGUUUUGAUCCGCUUGAUAAUUUGUGUUAUUUUUGAGAUAAGAUGGAGUUCAUAUCCCUAAGGGAAAUGGAAUAUAACACAACAUUUUUUUUUUGUUUGAUGAAGCUUGCAUUAUUUAGCAUCUAGGUUUCCUAUCGUUCGAUUGAUGUGCAUAGAUCAAAGUCAGUGCUUGUUAGCUAGUAUAGAAUAAGGCUCCAGUGAUGAUUGAUUCUUCAAUUUUGCCUCCUGUUAUCGUUCCAAUAUCUGAAGCCACCGGAUCGAUAUGGAGUUGAAGAGACAUGAUGAGCCUUAAAGAAAGCUGCUUUCUUUUAGUGUAAUGUAGACUGAUUUGUUCUUACACUGCUUUCCUAUUGUAUUUUCUUAAUUCAUCCCUAUUUUGUAUUGUUUUCUAUACUUCUUGCUUUUUUUCCUUGGUAGAAAGUGUUGAUAGAAAUAUGGUUUGAUCCAUUUCAUAACUCUGUGCUACUUUUGAGAUGAAAUGGAGGUCAUACUAAGGGAAAUUGGAUAUAAUACAUCAUUCAUAUUUAAUUGAAUCACCAGAUAUAUGCUCCAAGAUGAACUGAAUUCUUAGGCCCAAGCUCCUUUCUUCAUGGAUUAUGACAAGAAAUUCUUGAAAAAACACAAUUUUUUGGUGUAUUCUAGCUCAAGUACGGAAUCUAUAGAUUAUAAAAAAACGUUUCUUGUUUAAGGACAUGUGUACUCCAGGAUUACCUAUGGUGUGGGAUGGUGAAAUAUGCGCCUGGAUUCCAUCUCCGUGCCUUCCUCUCCAUGGUCAAGUUGACCUUCUCUACGCGAUCAUAAGGUGAAUGAUUGGCCCCUUUUCCAAGUGGUCCUAUGGCUGAAGUAGGUAUGUAUGUUAUUGGACAAACUGGGGAGAGCUGGAUGCUAUUAUUGUAUUGUUUUGGCCCUGAUAUUUGAGGGUCAAAAAGAAACGGUGGUUCCUCCAUUUUUAUCAAACAAUUAAUGGAGGAAGGAUUUUUCGACUUGAGGGGGAUACCCCUCUGCCUUCUGUAAGCAUUUCUUCAUGUUACCUUACAUUCUCUUGAUGGCGGUACCUUUCUUGAUCUUGCGUUCAUUCUUGAAAUCUCAUGAGACUAGAUAGUUUGAGAUGCAAAAUUCCUGCACAAUAUGUGCUUGUUCACCUUGCAUAGACCAUGUACCCCUCACGUACCUGAGUAAUUUGAAAUAUUCAAGAUAUAUUUUUUUAUUCAAAAAAUAAAUCUCUCAAAUUUGGUACCAUUUGGAAUACUACAUAAGUGCAAACAAACAUCCUUUGAUGUCAAAGAGUACGCUACUAUAUUCACAUGAAAUUUGACUAUUCCUCAACUUACAGUGCUCUAGAUAAUUCCUUUUAAU